GACGAACGCUUGCGGCGUGCUUAACACAUGCAAGUCGAACGGAAAGGCCCUGCUUUUGCGGGGUGCUCGAGUGGCGAACGGGUGAGUAACACGUGAGUAACCUGCCCUUGACUUUGGGAUAACUUCAGGAAACUGGGGCUAAUACCGGAUAGGAGCUCCUGCUGCAUGGUGGGGGUUGGAAAGUUUCGGCGGUUGGGGAUGGACUCGCGGCUUAUCAGCUUGUUGGUGGGGUAGUGGCUUACCAAGGCUUUGACGGGUAGCCGGCCUGAGAGGGUGACCGGCCACAUUGGGACUGAGAUACGGCCCAGACUCCUACGGGAGGCAGCAGUGGGGAAUAUUGCACAAUGGGCGGAAGCCUGAUGCAGCAACGCCGCGUGCGGGAUGACGGCCUUCGGGUUGUAAACCGCUUUCGCCUGUGACGAAGCGUGAGUGACGGUAAUGGGUAAAGAAGCACCGGCUAACUACGUGCCAGCAGCCGCGGUGAUACGUAGGGUGCGAGCGUUGUCCGGAUUUAUUGGGCGUAAAGGGCUCGUAGGUGGUUGAUCGCGUCGGAAGUGUAAUCUUGGGGCUUAACCCUGAGCGUGCUUUCGAUACGGGUUGACUUGAGGAAGGUAGGGGAGAAUGGAAUUCCUGGUGGAGCGGUGGAAUGCGCAGAUAUCAGGAGGAACACCAGUGGCGAAGGCGGUUCUCUGGGCCUUUCCUGACGCUGAGGAGCGAAAGCGUGGGGAGCGAACAGGCUUAGAUACCCUGGUAGUCCACGCUGUAAACGGUGGGUACUAGGUGUGGGGUCCAUUCCACGGGUUCCGUGCCGUAGCUAACGCUUUAAGUACCCCGCCUGGGGAGUACGGCCGCAAGGCUAAAACUCAAAGGAAUUGACGGGGCCCCGCACAAGCGGCGGAGCAUGCGGAUUAAUUCGAUGCAACGCGUAGAACCUUACCUGGGUUUGACAUGGAUCGGGAGUGCUCAGAGAUGGGUGUGCCUCUUUUGGGGUCGGUUCACAGGUGGUGCAUGGCUGUCGUCAGCUCGUGUCGUGAGAUGUUGGGUUAAGUCCCGCAACGAGCGCAACCCUUGUUCACUGUUGCCAGCACGUUAUGGUGGGGACUCAGUGGAGACCGCCGGGGUCAACUCGGAGGAGGGUGGGGAUGACGUCAAGUCAUCAUGCCCCUUAUGUCCAGGGCUUCACGCAUGCUACAAUGGCUGGUACAGAGAGUGGCGAGCCUGUGAGGGUGAGCGAAUCUCGGAAAGCCGGUCUCAGUUCGGAUUGGGGUCUGCAACUCGACCUCAUGAAGUCGGAGUCGCUAGUAAUCGCAGAUCAGCAACGCUGCGGUGAAUACGUUCCCGGG
rnacentral:rRNA from 1 species